rnacentral:rRNA from 1 species
GACGAACGCUGGCGGCGUGCUUAACACAUGCAAGUCGAACGGAAAGGCGCUGAGCUUGUGGGGUGCUCGAGUGGCGAACGGGUGAGUAACACGUGAGUAACCUGCCCUUGUCUUUGUGAUAACUUCAGGAAACUGGGGAUCUAACCGGAGAGGAGCUCCUGAAGCGCGGGGGGGGUUGGAGAGUUUCGGCGGUGGGGGAUGGACUCGCAGGUUAUCAGCUUGUUGGGGUAGUAGUGGCGGACCAAGGCUUUGACGGGUAGGCGGCCUGAGAGGGUGACCGGGCACAAUGGGACUGAGGGAGGGCCCAGACUCCUACGGGAGGCAGCAGUGGGGAAUAUUGCACAAUGGGCGGAAGCCUGAUGCAGCAACGCCGCGUGCGGGAUGACGGCCUUCGGGUUGUAAACCGCUUUCGCCUGUGACGAAGCGUGAGUGACGGUAAUGGGUAAAGAAGCACCGGCUAACUACGUG